rnacentral:rRNA from 1 species
UGGGGAAUUUUGGACAAUGGGCGAAAGCCUGAUCCAGCAAUGCCGCGUGUGUGAAGAAGGCCUUCGGGUUGUAAAGCACUUUUGUCCGGAAAGAAAUCCUCUGGGUUAAUACCUCGGGGGGAUGACGGUACCGGAAGAAUAAGCACCGGCUAACUACGUGCCAGCAGCCGCGGUAAUACGUAGGGUGCAAGCGUUAAUCGGAAUUACUGGGCGUAAAGCGUGCGCAGGCGGUUUUGUAAGACGGACGUGAAAUCCCCGGGCUUAACCUGGGAACUGCAUUCGUGACUGCAAGGCUAGAGUAUGGCAGAGGGGGGUAGAAUUCCACGUGUAGCAGUGAAAUGCGUAGAGAUGUGGAGGAAUACCGAUGGCGAAGGCAGCCCCCUGGGCCAAUACUGACGCUCAUGCACGAAAGCGUGGGGAGCAAACAGGAUUAGAUACCCUGGUAGUCCACGCCCUAAACGAUGUCAACUAGUUGUUGGGGAUUCAUUUCCUUAGUAACGUAGCUAACGCGUGAAGUUGACCGCCUGGGGAGUACGGUCGCAAGAUUAAAACUCAAAUGAAUUGACGGGGUCAUAGCUGUUUCCU